GCACAUGCGCUGUAGUUACUCGGAGGCCACUAUCUAUUUCCUGCCGAGGCAGUGGGACGGCCUUUUCUUUUUGGCUGUAGACCUGCGAGGGGUCAUUGAAUGAUUUUAUACUCAUCAACCAGGAAUCUGAACCUAUUUGUCGAUGUGUGUCCUGCUUUAACACCUGUAAGAGUUGCAGCUCAUAUUUAGGUUACGGUGGAACUGUCUGUGCUUCCGGUUAUACUAUGCAAAUAAUCAUUUACACAUCAUGGUCUUUGAGCAAUUUUAUAUUCAUUAGUCAGGAACCUGAACCUGUCCUGCUUUAACAUCUCUACACACUCUAGCUGUUAUGUGGACUACAAUGGAAUUGUCUGCACUUCAGGGCUGUACUUGGCAAAUCGUCAUCUUUAUCAUGCAAGGUCUUUGAACAAUUUUUAUAUUCAUCAAUCAGGAACCCAAACCAGUCCUGCUUUAACAUCUGUAUAAGCUGUAACUGGUAGUUGGGCUACAGUGGAAUUGUCUGCACUUCAAGCCUAUACUGUGCAAAUCAUCUUUAUCAUGUAAGGUCUUUGAACGAUUUUAUAUUCAUCAAUCAGGAACCCACACCAGUCCUGCUUUAACAUCUCUACAAGCCGUAGGUGGUUCAUUGAACCAAUUUGUUCACCAGCCAGGAAGAUAAACAUUUUUUCAAUGAAGUGACCCAUCCCACUUUAAUACCUGUAUGAGGUGCAGUUGAUAUUUGGGCAACAGUGCAAAUCGUCCUUUUUAUGAUGCAAGAACUUGAACCUCUCUGCAUUGAAAUCUGCCCUGUCCUGCUUUUAUCACCUCCAUGAGCAACAGCUGGUAUUUGGGACACAGUGGAGUUAUCUGUGCUUCAGUCUGUACAAUGCAAAUCAUCAUCUAUAUAAUGCAAGGUCGUUGAAUGGUUUUUAUGUUCGUCAACCAGGAAGCUGAACCACUUUACAUUGAAGUCUAUCCUGUCCUGCUUUAACAUCUCCACCAACUGCAGCUGAUGUUUGAGCUACAUUGCAAUUUUUGGCUUCAGGAUGUACUGUAUAAAUUGCCAUAGUUUUAAUACCAGUAAAUUUGUUAAUAAAUGAAUUGUCAUUGUUCAGUGUAAAUUCUGACUAAUCCUACUAAACCAUAGGUUACCUCAAAUUGUAAUUUUUCUUCUCUGUUGUGCUAGAUUUAUGAUAUUGAAGUACUUUGAAUUGAAACAAGUGAAUUAAAAUUUUGUUUCCUCAAA